AUGAAAUUCUAGGACGCUCUUUUUAGAGGUCCGACAAAAUCAUUCCUUUCUACACUGUGCACACACUACCUUUUUUACACCCAAUUUUUUUAACACCUUAGUAUUAAGAAUGUAAAUCAGUCUCUUAAUUGAGCAUCAAACAAAUA
rnacentral:misc_RNA from 1 species